rnacentral:rRNA from 1 species
GACGAACGCUGGCGGCGUGCCUAAUACAUGCAAGUUGAGCGCUGAAGGAUGGUACUUGUGCCCACUGGAUGAGCAGCGAACGGGUGAGUAACGCGUGGGUAAUCUGCCUUUUAUCGGGGGACAACAUCUGGAAACGAAUGCUAAUACCGCAUAAAAACUUUAAACACAAGUUUUAAGUUUGAAAGAUGCAAUUGCAUCACUCAAAGACGAUCCCGCGUUGUAUUAGCUAGUUGGUGAGGUAAAGGCUCACCAAGGCGAUGAUACAUAGCCGACCUGAGAGGGUGAGCGGCCACAUUGGGACUGAGACACGGCCCAAACUCCUACGGGAGGCAGCAGUAGGGAAACUUCGGACAUGGACGAAAGGCUGACCGAGGAACGCCGCGUGAGUGAAGAAGGUUUUCGGAUCGUAAAACUCUGUUGGUAGAGAAGAACGUUGGUGAGAGUGGAAAGCUCAUCAAGUGACGGUAACUAACCAGAAAGGGACGGCUAACUACGUG